rnacentral:snRNA from 1 species
UUACUUACCUGGAUGGGGUCAAUGGGUGAUCAUGAACGCCCAUGGCCUAGGCAGUGACCUCCAUUGCACUUAGGAGGGGUGCUAGCCUAAGUUCUACCCAAGUGGUGGAUCCUACAUCAUAAUUUGUUGCUGCAGGGGCCUGCGUUCUCGCGGCCCCUUC